rnacentral:misc_RNA from 1 species
GUUUUUUAAUUAAUCUCAUUGAUUCAGUCAGUAUAAAGUAUAGAAUAACCCACAAGUGGGCAAACAAUGCACAGGGGUUAACCAAGCCGUCCGAAAACGGCCUAGUGCGAGUCUCAAAGACUCUAAUUUUUAAUGAUCCAACCGCAGGUUCACCUACGGUUA